AGCGCGAGAGAGCUUGCUCUCUUGGCGGCGAGUGGCGGACGGGUGAGUAAUAUAUCGGAACGUGCCCAGUAGCGGGGGAUAACUACUCGAAAGAGUGGCUAAUACCGCAUACGCCCUACGGGGGAAGGGGGGGGAUCGCAAGACCUCUCACUAUUGGAGCGGCCGAUAUCGGAUUAGGUAGUUGGUGGGGUAAAGGCUCACCAAGGCAACGAUCCGUAGCUGGUUUGAGAGGACGACCAGCCACACUGGGACUGAGACACGGCCCACACUCCUACGGGAGGCAGCAGUGG
rnacentral:rRNA from 1 species